CACAGGUGUGACACAUCUGGGUGGAUUUUAUACUUUGAAAUUUUUUCAUGAAUUUUUUUUUUUUGUGCUUGACUUUUAAAAAGAAAUCUUGUUUUUCUUCACUACGGGGAUCGUUUACACUUGAGAAGAACUACUGAACAGCACGUGCCAGAGAUUGAGGUCCAGGUCAAACGUAGAAGGACAGCCUCACUGAGCAACCAAGAGUGUCACUUGUACCCAAGGCGUUCUCAGCAACAGCAAAUUCCUGUGGUGGAUUUCCAGGCAGAACUGAGACAGGCGUUCUUAGCUGAGACACCAAGAGGUGGUUAAAGCAGUAUUGGAACUGUGGGGUGGUGGAAGUCAACAAAAACAGGACCUAUCCACUGAUUGUGAAACUUUGGUCAAGCUUACACUGUGUUAAUAGCCUGCAUCAAACCUUUAUUUAUUGCCCUUCUCCAAGUAUUAAGGAUCUUGAAAUUUUAGUGUUGACAACUGCUAUUGUGGAACAGCAAUCAUGGCCAAAGAAUGCAAAACAGCCAGAACGUGAAGAAAAACGGGUUUUGGGUCUGGUCUUGCUACGUGGAGAGAACUUGGUUUCCAUGACAGUGGAGGGUCCACCUCCUAAAGAUACUGGCAUUGCUCGUGUGCCACUUGCUGGUGCUGCAGGUGGCCCUGGUGUUGGAAGAGCAGCUGGCAGAGGAGUACCAGCAGGUGUACCUAUUCCCCAAGCUCCUGCUGGAUUAGCAGGCCCUGUCCGAGGAGUUGGAGGCCCAUCCCAGCAGGUCAUGACCCCACAGGGAAGAGGCACUGUUGCAGCUGCUGCUGUUGCUGCUACUGCUAGCAUUGCAGGAGCCCCAACCCAGUACCCGCCAGGACGGGGAACUCCACCUCCACCUGUAGGCAUGCCCCCUCCAGGAAUGAGACCCCCUCCUCCAGGAAUUAGAGGCCCACCUCCCCCAGGAAUGCGUCCACCAAGACCCUAAGAUACAGUUGAUAAAUCUCAGCCCUUCUCUUUCCCUACAAUGCUUCUUGUGAAAUUGUGUCGCCUGCAAGCUUUUGACCCCUCUUACUGCAUUAACUAUAGAUAAUAAAUACAUAGCGCAAUUGAAUUGAGGUUUUUCUUUGUCUGCUGAUUUUGUUAAAGUUAGAGUGAAACUUAUUGUGAUUUGGUGGUGAAAUUAUUGUUAAAGGUUACUAAACUAAGUUUAUAUUAAGUAAAAACCGACAUAAAGUUUCUCAAGGUAGUUUCUAAGGAUAAGAUGGUUGAAAUGUUUUCGUGAUUUCUGACCUUACAGAUAAGUAAAAUCAGGAAUGAUUUACUAAGA
rnacentral:lncRNA from 1 species